UUCAUCUAACAGUGAUUUGGCUCCAAGUGGAGUGACGCCUUUGCCCUCGCUUUUCUCCUACAAUUUCACCUUCGUAUUGGUGUCUGAAAUGAUGUCAGCCGGGCAUAUGCGUCUUUAGGCAGUAGAAGACGCCCCAUUCUUCCGUGAUCUUCUCAUUCGAUUGCUGCCAGAACAAUCCAGAGAUCAAUUAUCAAGAACGAUUGAGAGAGAGAGAGAGAGAGAGAGAGAAAUAGGGUUUGUUUCUUUGCUUUGCACGAAGAGAUAGAGAGAUCCAAGGGAAAUUCUCACCUCAUCAUCUCAGCACGAGGUCGAUUACUCUUUAUCACGAGAGUGAUUGUAAAGGUUUUUAUUUGGUGGUUUGUAACAAAUCUCUUCUUAGCUUUCAUCACCAACCAUAAAUACUUGGGUUCGUCAUCAGCAAGACUGCUUCGCCUGAAGAUUAGAAGAAAGCCACCAUUAAGGACCAUCAGGAUAAGGGCGGAGCUCCACGAAGAGAAUUGGCGUUUGAUCAUCUCGGCACGAGGUAAUUCAGCUUCCUCGAAGAGAUACAAAGCUCAAGCUUUCUGGACAUGACGACUUUCUUCAUUUUAAGAGAAUUAAGGUUGGGUACCUGCAUAUGAGGAUUCUUGGCAACAUCAGCUCCUCAAAUUUGUUAGAUCAUGCCAAGCGAUUUGUAUAAUCUCAAGUCCAGGACAUAAGUAGCAGAACCUGUACAAGGUUUAGGAUGGUAGCGUUGGCAGACAUUCAUUGAUUGUAGGGUUUGAUAUAUACAGAAAGUUUAUGUUGCAUUUCAUGAUGAAUGCUGGGGAGUUCCAUCAAUUGUUUGAGCUGCGUGCUCUGUCUGGGAUGUUGAUGGACCACAAUUGGACUGAAAUUGGGAAAAGAAGGGAGCUGCUCAGGGAAGCCUUUUCGGCAUUUGAUCCAAACACAGUUGCCAAAUGGGGGAGGAAGAGAUUGAAGAGAUAAACUGCUGUUAUAGGAGUUAGUGGAAAAGUUGUGGACAGUGGUCUGAAUGAUCAUAUCUUCAUAUACUGUUCCAAUCAUGGUGGUCUGGAGUACUGGGGGCUUCCAUCAGUUUCUUCUUUCUUUUACGGCCUUCUGUUGGUUUCUCUCUUCCUCCCUUCUGCCCUGGUUUAUUAAGCUAUCGCCAUCACUCAGUAUGACAUCGAAGAAGUACAGCAACACUGCAACCACAGAUUUUCGCAGCAGAAGAUAGUUUCUCUGUACGAGAGGUUCUGUCAGCUCAAUCGCAGUGGCAGAGGUUUCAUCUUCGCCGACGAGUUUUUUGUCCGUACCGGAAUUCACAGUCAAUCCUCUCUCUCAGAUACUGGGGGAGAUAUGGAGCAAGACCACACUUGCUCUUAGGAGAUGCUUCUGUAUCAACACCCAAUUUCCUUUUCUCAUCAGAGAGAUUUGAUCAAACAACAAAGCUACGUAGUUUUGGGGUGAAUUCAGAAAGAUAUUCAAGGGAGGAUUGAGAAAGAACAAGCGGUUCUUUGCUUUGCUCAGCUCACUGGCAUUGGUUACAAUUAUGAGUUCAAUUGCGUCUGAAUUUGGUUUGAAUGUUGGAGCUUUUGGGAUUAAUUUGGGUUUGUUUCUGUUGACAACUACAGAUGCAGAGAGGGAAACUCUAUGUUGGAGAUUAUGUGGCGAUGAAGGGGUUCUCUGCUUUGCUUAUCAGCAUUGCAACAUUUCUCCCAUGUUGUGAGAGUCAUGGAUAAAUGUUGCUUCAGAGAAUAAAGAUGGUUUUUCCUUUUCACAGAGAUGAAGGAGCCGGUGAUAGUUUUUCUUGGAGAAAUUGAGCUCAUUUGAACAAAUAGGAAUAUCCGAUUGAGCUGGCACCCAUUUGAUCAAAUUGGGGGAUUUGAUUGAGCAAUCAGAGAUCUUUGAAGGAUUGAGCUCUGGUGUGAUUGUGGAAUCCCUGAAGGUGGUUAGCUUGCAAGGAUUUGCCUCAAUUUUGGAGCGUAACCUCUGCAGAAUUGUGAGUCAAAUUUUGACUAUUUACUGAUUAUAGUUGAAUUUUGGUUGAGACUAGAUGUGGUUAGAUGAAUCUCUUCAAUAUGUUUAUCAAUUCAGUGAAGCAUCAUCUUGCUUUUAAUAGUUCUGUUAUUCAAAUACUCAUGUCAUUCAUUCAUCAAAAUUUUUUUAUCAUUAUUUUUAAAUUUUUUUUCUCUAAAUAGAGAUUUAGAGACAAACCUUCAAGGGCUGAAGCAAGAUCGCAAACCUGUUGUGUUUCAUUUUCUCUAUUUAGACCUUUGGGGUGUAUUAGAACACAGAAGGUCCUAAAAUUCUUGAGUUUAGUUAUGGUCUAUAUUCAGUAUUCAGAUUGGUUUAGAUGGAUUUAGUUGUUUUGUACCACAGAGGUAGUAAGUGUGUGUUUGGGAAUGUCUCUGAAAUGAAAGUGCUUUUGGGUUUAAUGUCAAAUGAAUUUGGAAUAUGUUAUCUGCAUUGUUUUGCUCGCUUUGAACAUUAUCAUGAUAGAGUGGUUUAAUGUCAAAUGAAUUUGGAGCAAGUUGUUCACAGUGACAAAUUC